rnacentral:tRNA from 5 species
UGGGGAGUCGUCUAAUGGUAGGACUCAUCCCUUUGAAGGAUGCUAUCUAGGUCCGAAUCCUAGCUCCCCAGCCG